rnacentral:rRNA from 1 species
GACGAACGCUGGCGGCGUGCUUAACACAUGCAAGUCGAACGGAAAGGCCCUGCUUUUGUGGGGUGCUCGAGUGGCGAACGGGUGAGUAACACGUGAGUAACCUGCCCUUGACUUUGGGAUAACUUCAGGAAACUGGGGCUAAUACCGGAUAGGAGCUCCUGCUGCAUGGUGGGGGUUGGAAAGUUUCGGCGGUUGGGGAUGGACUCGCGGCUUAUCAGCUUGUUGGUGGGGUAGUGGCUUACCAAGGCUUUGACGGGUAGCCGGCCUGAGAGGGUGACCGGCCACAUUGGGACUGAGAUACGGCCCAGACUCCUACGGGGGGCAGCAGUGGGGAAUAUUGCACAAUGGGCGGAAGCCUGAGGCAGCAACGCCGCGUGCGGGAUGACGGCCUUCGGGUUGUAAACCGCUUUCGCCUGUGACGAAGCGUGAGUGACGGUAAUGGGUAAAGAAGCACCGGCUAACUACGUG